rnacentral:rRNA from 1 species
UACGGAGGAUGCGAGCGUUAUCCGGAUUUAUUGGGUUUAAAGGGUGCGCAGGCGGAGGCACAAGUCAGCGGUAAAAUCGCGGGGCUCAACCCCGCUCCGCCGUUGAAACUGUGUCCCUUGAGUGCGCGAAGGGUAGGCGGAAUGCGUGGUGUAGCGGUGAAAUGCAUAGAUAUCACGCAGAACUCCGAUCGCGAAGGCAGCCUACCGGCGCGCGACUGACGCUCAUGCACGAAAGCGUGG